AUUGAACGCUGGCGGCAGGCCUAACACAUGCAAGUCGAGCGGAGCGGCGGACGGGUGAGUAAUGCCUAGGAAUCUGCCUGGUAGUGGGGGCUAACGUCCGGAAACGGGCGCUAAUACCGCAUAAUAUCAGAUGAGCCUAGGUCGGCUUAGCUAGGUGGUGGGGUAAAGGCUUACCAAGGCGACGAUCCGUAACUGGUCUGAGAGGAUGAUCAGUCACACUGGAACUGAGACACGGUCCAGAAUCCUACGGGAGGCAGCAGUAGGGAAUAUUGGACAAUGGGCGAAAGCCUGAUCCAGCCAUGCCGGGUGUGUGAAGAAGGUCUUCGGAUGGUAAAGCACUUUAAGUUGGGAAGCGUUACCAACAGAAUAAGCACCGGCUAACUUCGUGCCAGCAGCCGCGGUAAUAC
rnacentral:rRNA from 1 species